AACGAACGCUGGCGGCAUGCCUAACACAUGCCAGUCGAACGAGACCUUCGGGUCUAGUGGCGCACGGGUGCGUAACGCGUGGGAACCUGCCCUUAGGUUCGGAAUAACUCCCCGAAAGGGGUGCUAAUACCGGAUAAUGUCUUCGGACCAAAGAUUUAUCGCCUUUGGAUGUGCCCGCGUUGGAUUAGCUAGUUGGUAGAGUAAAAGCCUACGAAGGCGACGAUCCAUAGCUGGUCUGAGGAUGAUCAGCCACACUGGGACUGAGACACGGCCCAGACUCCUACGGGAGGCAGCAGUGGGGAAUAUUGGACAAUGGGCGAAAGCCUGAUCCAGCAAUGCCGCGUGAGUGAUGAAGGCCUUAGGGUUGUAAAGCUCUUUUACCCGGGAUGAUAAUGACAGUACCGGGAGAAUAAGCUCCGGCUAACUCCGUG
rnacentral:rRNA from 1 species